rnacentral:misc_RNA from 1 species
UACAUGCUAGUGCCUUUUUUGAAUUCGUUCACUUUUUAAUUCGUUGAUGUUUUAUUUCAUCUAUAUUGAUCUUUUCGCAAUGCAACUAGUUCUGAGCUUAAAAGAAAACGCUGAAGGGUCCUCAAAAUUCUCAUGUUAUAGUAACCCUUCUAAAUUUUGAAUUCGCUGAAAAAGAGUAGAAAUAAUUAACAAUUAAAAAAAAAACAAUGUCAGGAGAUGAAAAAAGAGAUGAUUAGGAGCCUAAAACGUCGAAUGAUCAUUUCUUUAUACAUUCUUCUCUCUUUGUUGCAGUAGGCGAAAUGCAUCUUCUCAAUUAUUCGAUGACUCUCAACUUCUUGGGCCGAAAUUUGUGCGACGUGGGCCUCGCCGAUGUCUCUGGAUAUGAGGAGAUGAUUGCGGUGCGGUGGCGGAGUUUUGAGGCGGACGCACGAUCAUCACCGCUCGAUCGAUUGCUCCAAAGUUAUGUAUCGCUCGAAUGAUAAUUGACGAUAACCCUAUGCACUGUGAGAAGUUACAAGAUCCGAAGUCAAGAGCCGUUUUUCCAAG